rnacentral:hammerhead_ribozyme from 1 species
CCAUCACUGAGGAGAUCCAGUACAGAUCGAAACCACUUGGUCUGAUAG